rnacentral:lncRNA from 1 species
GGCGUGGAGCCCUGGAGAUGAUGAAUAUGCAGCAAGAGGUGCCGUGCCAGAUGAAAUAUGACCAACUAGUUACUUCAAGGUCCUCAUACCUGCCAGGAAGGACUGAAACUUGGAACGCAACAAUCCUACCUCUCAUCUAAUACACUACAAAGUCACCUUUUGGUAUCUUUGUCCAGUUAUGAGAAGCCCCAGCCAUCCGGGAAGCCAUCGUUAUGGUGCAGUG